rnacentral:rRNA from 1 species
CCUACGGGAGGCAGCAGUAGGGAAUAUUGGACAAUGGACGCAAGUCUGAUCCAGCCAUCCCGCGUGAAGGAUUAAGGCCCUAUGGGUUGUAAACUUCUUUUCUUUGGGAAUAAAAAGCGGUAUUCAUAUCGCCUUGAAGGUACCAGAGGAAUAAGCACCGGCUAACUCCGUGCCAGCAGCCGCGGUAAUACGGAGGGUGCAAGCGUUAUCCGGAUUCACUGGGUUUAAAGGGUGCGUAGGUGGCUUUGUAAGUCAGCGGUGAAAGCCUGGAGCUCAACUCCAGAAUUGCCAUUGAUACUGCAGAGCUUGAAUCAAGUUGAGGUGGAUGGAAUAUUACAUGUAGCGGUGAAAUGCUUAGAUAUGUAAUAGAACACCGAUUGCGAAGGCAGUUCACUAAGCUUGUAUUGACACUGAGGCACGAAAGCGUGGGGACCAAACAGGAUUAGAUACCCUGGUAGUCCACGCCCUAAACGAUGCAAACUCGACAUUAGCGAUAUACAGUUAGUGUCCAAGCGAAAGCGUUAAGUUUGCCACCUGGGAAGUACGACCGCAAGGUUGAAACUCAAAUGAAUUGACGG